CCUACGGGGGGCAGCAGUGGGGAAUUUUGCGCAAUGGGGGCAACCCUGACGCAGCAACGCCGCGUGAGUGAUGAAGGCCUUCGGGUCGUAAAGCUCUGUCAGAGGGGAAGAAAUGCAGGUGGUGAACAACCAUUCUGUUUGACGGUACCCUCAAAGGAAGCACCGGCUAACUCCGUGCCAGCAGCCGCGGUAAUCCGGAGGGUGCGAGCGUUGUUCGGAAUUCUUGGGCGUAAAGCGCGUGUAGGCGGUUUGGUAAGUCUGAUGUGAAAGCCACGGGCUCAACAUGGGAAGUGCAUUGGAUACUGGCAGACUUGAGUACGGGAGAGGAGAGUGGAAUUCCCAGUGUAGGAGUGAAAUGCGUAGAUAUCAGGAAGAACACCGGUAGCGAAGGCGGCCACCUGGCCCGUUACUGACGCUCAGGGACGAAAGCGUGGGGAGCAAACAGGAUUAGAUACCCGUGUAGU
rnacentral:rRNA from 1 species